CCUACGGGGGGCAGCAGUGGGGAAUAUUGGACAAUGGGGGGAACCCUGAUCCAGCCAUGCCGCGUGUGUGAAGAAGGCCCUCGGGUUGUAAAGCACUUUCAGUGAGGAAGAACGCCUGGUGGUUAAUACCCAUCAGGAAAGACAUCACUCACAGAAGAAGCACCGGCUAACUCCGUGCCAGCAGCCGCGGUAAUACGGAGGGUGCGAGCGUUAAUCGGAAUUACUGGGCGUAAAGCGCGCGUAGGUGGCUUGAUAAGCCGGUUGUGAAAGCCCCGGGCUCAACCUGGGAACGGCAUCCGGAACUGUCAAGCUGGAGUGCAGGAGAGGAAGGUAGAAUUCCCGGUGUAGCGGUGAAAUGCGUAGAGAUCGGGAGGAACACCAGUGGCGAAGGCGGCCUUCUGGACUGACACUGACACUGAGGUGCGAAAGCGUGGGUAGCAAACAGGAUUAGAUACCCCAGUAGUC
rnacentral:rRNA from 1 species